rnacentral:lncRNA from 1 species
GGCUCCUCCUUGUCGCUCUUCCUCCACGAAGCUGUCCAGACUCGGUGAGCUCAGGGCCUCGCUACUCGUCUGCUCCUCGGGGCAGACCUAGCUACUCCACUAGGUCUGCACGGUCGCUCAAUGACCUUGCAGACCCACCCCUUCACACGCAAAUGGCAGAGGACUUGGUGGCAUGAAUCCACUUACUGGGUGGAGAUUGAUUGGACCGCUCAGCUGGGGUCCAGCAGGAGUGGUGACUCUUGUCCUUCCGGCCUCACGGAAAUCCACUUAGAUGGGGAAAUGGUGAGUGAAUUUAGCCAGCGCGCGCACAGAGCCGAGAGGGCGAGCUCUUCUGAUCCCAUUAGGUGAGGAGCGCAGUAGGUGGCCCAAAUAAAUCGCAAAUCCGAGCCAGGCAAGCGCGUGGUGUGUAUUAAACCCGAAAUCUGCAGAGAGAACGCAUCAGAAACUGCCCGUGUGGCACACCGCAGAAAUCCAGGACAUAAGGGUUCAGACCCAGGGAGGGACACCAAGACAGAUGACAGAGCCCGCGAGAAGGUGGACCUGAAUCUGCAGCCUCAGGGGAGUUCCCAGGUGCAGUGCAGAGUGCGCAGGGCACGGCUCUGGGCAUCCCUUGUCUCUGCAGAGCUCCUAACACCUUUCCAGAGGCAACAAUAAGGUGUGAUUGUUGCCCACAACCAGGCACUUCUCUCUCCCCAGUGGGACUUAGAUUAACACUUUAAUCAUGUUAAUCCUCCAGGGCCUCUCCCAUAGCCAUUACCACCCCUGACUCAGCCAGGUGAGAACUGGAAGGCCUGACAGGGACACUGACCUGGUAAGUGAAGGGUCAGUAAAUACCGAUGCUAUUUUGAAUUUCUUUUGUCUGUGACCUUUGGCAAUUCCCCUGUGCAGAAUGGUAAGGAAUCUCCCUAACAGUCUCCAGGCCUGGACAGUGAAGGAGCAACGGGGGGGAGGGGGGGGGCAAGCUCAGUUCACCAAACGGGCAACUCAGGAUACAUAAAAACGAAAAGGCUCCCUCCUAACUCUUAAAAAGAAAUAUUUAAAGCUCCUUACUUCAUCUUAGUUUAUUUUAUUUUUAAAUAAAAUGCACUUUUUAUAGAAUAAAAUUUUACAAUUUUAUAAAUUUA